GUAAAGCAACACUUCUACCUACUGUUCUCCAGGAUAGUCCAUGUUGCAGCUGAUCUGGAAAAAUACUUUUCUUAUACACUGGGAGGGAAGGGAAGGGAGCUUCCAUGCACACAAGUCUUGAAGAAGCUCUCAAGGUUAUGCCUGAAAUCUUUUCAAGCUUUCUGACUAUAUCAGUUGGUCUAAUGCAAGUUAGUCUUUACCUCCCUUGCUAGGGUUAGACAACUUUCCUGCAAAGCUCGCAAGAACUGAAAAAUACCUCAUUCAUUGGAGGAGAGGGGGAGCUGCAUCUAGCAAAUGCACAGCUUUAUGACCAGCAAGACAACAUCAAGCAGUUUAUUGCAGACUCUGUUUAUGCCUUGCAAGAGUGCAACCUAGUACGCCCAUGUGCAUGCUUUGUUUUCAGCACCAACUCUGGAAGCGAUUUUGAAUCUCAUUUCAUUUUAGUUGAAUCUAUGUUCUCUUUGUUGUCUGUCUGUGAAUCUGUACUGAAAAAAAAGUUAAAUUUGGACUAAUGUUGUUUUCCCUGUUUAAAAAGGCAUUGGAUUUAUUUUAGAUUAGUUCAAACUCUUUUACGUCCCUGUUUCUUUCUUAACCCUUCAAUGCCGACUUCAUACUGUUAAGGUAAACCAUGCCAUUUCAAGGGAAGGCAGGGGAAAAAAACUUAGCUACAUGAAAGUGAAGAUUCAGCUCUAAAAGACAGGAAAGAUAUUUGGCCAUAUUAACUUCAGUGUGAAUUCAAUGGAUAAUCCCCUUGUAUGAUAACUGAGGUGUUUCAUUGGUAAAUGAGGUCACCAGGAUGCACGUGUGAGUAUCUGUAGCAGUCUGGAAGACUUAGCUGUCACUGACAGAAGCAAUGUUGCACAGUCUCUCCUGUCUUUCUCUGCCUGUACAACGUCACAUCUCUAGAGCUGAGCCUUUUGAUCUAAUUAGAUCCCUAUUCAGGGAGCUUGUCUGGUUUAACCUUUUAAUGAUACCUGAGAAAACACAUGUCUGUGGUGGCUCUUUUUUUCUUAACUUGUAUACAGUUGAUGGAAGGGACUAGCUUAAUAAGUGUUUGCUUGUAAAAUAUUACCACUAGAUACUUUUUCCUUCUAAUUUACUCCUUGAUCCUGAUAUAACUGUAGUUGCUAAAAAUGUUUGGAAAUUAUGAAACUUGGUACCAUUUUAUGUGGAGGGUGUGAACCACUGGUGGGUUCAAUGUCCCAGUUUAGCUGAGUUCUGAGCCUCUUGCCUGUUUUUAUUAUGUGCAUGACCAUUCUUUCAUCAGAAAAAUCCUUCUAUCAGGUCUUGCUCCAGUUUUGGAAAUGAAUCAGAGAAAGGGCUAUUCUGCUGAGAGAGAGUUGGUGUCUACAACUGUUUUUACUAUUUUUUAUAGUGUGCAUCAAAGUCUGUAGGCUAAAAUCCUAGCCCAUGGAGCAGAGGGGAAAGAAACUCAGCGAUAUUUUUCUCCCUGUUGUCCAGGAGAACUAAACUCCUCCAAGUAGGAGGAGUUCUGUAGUCAUGGGAAGUGCAGCUGGCCUGGAGGUCAGGGAACAGCAGCUCUCAAUGAUACACCUUUUUCACAAUGGUAGUUCCUGAUUGUAACUGCUCCAGGGAAUUACAGAGGUUUGGCUUUUAGGAAAAGUCACUGAACAAUCAGGUAUUUUACAUGGUGCUGACAGAAUUCUGAAACUGGCUGUUUUGUUCAAAUGUCUGUUAAUAUCACUUAAUAAAUGAGAUCUUUUGUUAUUAACUGCCUGAUCACAAUUACUGAAAUUUGUGAUGUUAGCCAAAUCCACCAAUGUGCAAUUUAGCUUUCACUGCAGUAUCAAUUACAGCUGCUGCUUAUGUUCAUUGUUGCCAUUCAUGUUCAUGGAAUGCUUUAAUAAAGGGAAUAGAGAAGGGUUUUAUCGUGUGCUUUCCUGUUGUAUACAAAAAUAGAUGAUACAAUUUCACCAAUUUUGUUUCACUUUAAAAUAGCUUCCGGAAAUAGUGGCCUAUGAGGGAAUAGGGCUGAUUGACUCAUUCGUUGUGCAUAAUUUAUCCUGAAAAAUUUGCAUUUUUGUACAUGUAUUAUCCAUGGAGAAAAGAAUUUACAUUCAUCUAUUUGUUAUUCAUAAUCUGGCAUUAAAUAGUUUAUGAAUUGCUGUCUGAA